rnacentral:rRNA from 1 species
AUGGCCACAUCACAUUAAAAUACUGGUUCCUAUAUGAUCACCAAAAUUAAGCAACAUUGAGCCUGGUCAGUACCUAGAUGGGUGACUGUUUGGGAAUACCAGGUGCUGUAAG